rnacentral:rRNA from 1 species
AUUGAACGCUGGCGGCAGGCCUAACACAUGCAAGUCGAGCGCGAGGGGGACGGGGGAGUAAUGUCUGUGAAACUGCCUCAUGUAGUGGGGUAACUACUGGAGACGGUAGCUAUUACCCCAUACGAUCAGAUGUGCCCAGAUGGGAUUAGCUAGUAGGUGGGGUAACGGCUCACCUAGGGGACGCUCCCUAGCUGGUCUGAGAGGAUGACCAGCGACACUGGAACUGAGACACGGUCAAGACUCCUACGGGAGGCAGCAGUGGGGAAUAUUGCACAAUGGGCGCAAGCCUGAGGGAGCCAUGGCGAGUGUGGGAAGAAGGCCUUCGGGUUGUAAAGCACUUUGAGCGGGGAGGCGGUACCCGCAGAAGAAGCACCGGCUAACUCCGUGCCAGCAGCCGCGGUAAUAC